rnacentral:rRNA from 1 species
AGAGUUUGAUCCUGGCUCAGAACGAACGCUGGCGGCAUGCUUUACACAUGCAAGUCGAACGGCAGCACGGGGGCAACCCUGGUGGCGAGUGGCGAACGGGUGAGUAAUGCAUCGGAACGUAUCCUUGAGUGGGGGAUAACGCAGCGAAAGUUGUGCUAAUACCGCAUAAGCUCUGAGGAGGAAAGCGGGGGACCGAAAGGCCUCGCGCUAAGAGAAGAGCCUACGUCUGAUUAGCUAGUUGGUAGGGUAAAGGCCUACCAAGGCGACGAUCAGUAGCUGGUCUGAGAGGACGACCAGCCACACUGGGACUGAGACACGGCCCAGACUCCUACGGGAGGCGAC